rnacentral:rRNA from 1 species
UUUAAUGUUUGAUGUUCUAACGUUGACCCGUAAUCCGGGUUGCGGACAGUGUCUGGUGGGUAGUUUGACUGGGGCGGUCUCCUCCUAAAGAGUAACGGAGGAGCACGAAGGUUGGCUAAUCCUGGUCGGACAUCAGGAGGUUAGUGCAAUGGCAUAAGCCAGCUUGACUGCGAGCGUGACGGCGCGAGCAGGUGCGAAAGCAGGUCAUAGUGAUCCGGUGGUUCUGAAUGGAAGGGCCAUCGCUCAACGGAUAAAAGGUACUCCGGGGAUAACAGGCUGAUACCGCCCAAGAGUUCAUAUCGACGGCGGUGUUUGGCACCUCGAUGUCGGCUCAUCACAUCCUGGGGCUGAAGUAGGUCCCAAGGGUAUGGCUGUUCGCCAUUUAAAGUGGUACGCGAGCUGGGUUUAGAACGUCGUGAGACAGUUCGGUCCCUAUCUGCCGUGGGCGCUGGAGAACUGAGGGGGGCUGCUCCUAGUACGAGAGGACCGGAGUGGACGCAUCACUGGUGUUCGGGUUGUCAUGCCAAUGGCACUGCCCGGUAGCUAAAUGCGGAAGAGAUAAGUGCUGAAAGCAUCUAAGCACGAAACUUGCCCCGAGAUGAGUUCUCCCUGACUCCUUGAGAGUCCUGAAGGAACGUUGAAGACGACGACGUUGAUAGGCCGGGUGUGUAAGCGCAGCGAUGCGUUGAGCUAACCG